ACUCCUACGGGAGGCAGCAGUGGGGAAUAUUGCACACUGGGCGCAAGCCUGAUGCAGCCAUGCCGCGUGUAUGAAGAAGGCCUUCGGGUUGUAAAGUACUUUCAGCGGGGAGGAAGGCAAUACGGUUAAUAACCGUGUUGAUUGACGUUACCCGCAGAAGAAGCACCGGCUAACUCCGUGCCAGCAGCCGCGGUAAUACGGAGGGUGCAAGCGUUAAUCGGAAUUACUGGGCGUAAAGCGCACGCAGGCGGUCUGUCAAGUCGGAUGUGAAAUCCCCGGGCUCAACCUGGGAACUGCAUUCGAAACUGGCAGGCUUGAGUCUUGUAGAGGGGGGUAGAAUUCCAGGUGUAGCGGUGAAAUGCGUAGAGAUCUGGAGGAAUACCGGUGGCGAAGGCGGCCCCCUGGACAAAGACUGACGCUCAGGUGCGAAAGCGUGGGGAGCAAACAGGAUUAGAUACCCGGGUAGUCCCAUG
rnacentral:rRNA from 1 species